rnacentral:rRNA from 1 species
AUUGAACGCUGGCGGCAGGCCUAACACAUGCAAGUCGAACGGUAACAGGAAGCAGCUUGCUGCUUCGCUGACGAGUGGCGGACGGGUGAGUAAUGUCUGGGAAGCUGCCUGAUGGAGGGGGAUAACUACUGGAAACGGUAGCUAAUACCGCAUAAUGUCGCAAGACCAAAGAGGGGGACCUUCGGGCCUCUUGCCAUCGGAUGUUCCCAGGUGGGCUUCGCUUGUUGGGGGGGUAACGGCUCACCCAGGCGACCAUCCCUCGCUGGUCGGCGAGGCUGGCCAGCCACACUGGAGCUGAGACACGGGCCAGGCUCCUGAGGGAGGCAGCAGUGGGGAAUGGGGCACAGUGGGGGGAAGCCUGGUGCAGCGAGGCGGCGUGUAUGAAGAAGGCCUUCGGGUUGUAAAGUACGUUCAGCGGGGAGGAAGGGAGUAAAGUUAAUACCUUGGCUCAUUGACGGUACCCGCAGAAGAAGCACCGGCUAACUCCGUG